CGGGGUGCACCAGGCGCGAAAACUUUACAAUGCGGGAAACCGUGAUAAGGGGACACCGAGUGCCAGCAUCAUAUGCUGGCUGUCCGGGUGUGUAAAAUACACCCGUUAGCAAGGGCCGGGCAAGACCGGUGCCAGCCGCCGCGGUAACACCGGCGGCCCGAGUGGUGAUCGUGAUUAUUGGGUCUAAAGGGUCCGUAGCCGGUUUGGUCAGUCCUCCGGGAAAUCUGACGGCUCAACCGUUAGGCUUUCGGGGGAUACUGCCAGGCUUGGAACCGGGAGAGGUAAGAGGUACUACAGGGGUAGGAGUGAAAUCUUGUAAUCCCUGUGAGACCACCUGUGGCGAAGGCGUCUUACCAGAACGGGUUCGACGGUGAGGGACGAAAGCUGGGGGCACGAACCGGAUUAGAUACCCGGGUAGUCCCAGCCGUAAACGAUGCUCGCUAGGUGUCAGGCAUGGCGCGACCGUGUCUGGUGCCGCAGGGAAGCCGUGAAGCGAGCCACCUGGGAAGUACGGCCGCAAGGCUGAAACUUAAAGGAAUGGCGGGGGAGCACAAGGGCGAUUCGCG
rnacentral:rRNA from 1 species